rnacentral:rRNA from 1 species
UACGGAGGGUGCAAGCGUUAUCCGGAUUUACUGGGUUUAAAGGGUGCGUAGGUGGGUAAGUAAGUCAGUGGUGAAAUCUCCGGGCUUAACCCGGAAACUGCCAUUGAUACUAUUUAUCUUGAAUACUUUGGAGGUAAGCGGAAUAUGUCAUGUAGCGGUGAAAUGCUUAGAUAUGACAUAGAACACCAAUUGCGAAGGCAGCUGGCUACACGAAUAUUGACACUGAUGCACGAAAGCGUGGGGAUCAAACAGG